rnacentral:rRNA from 1 species
UCCUACGGGAGGCAGCAGUAGGGAAUCUUCCGCAAUGGACGAAAGUCUGACGGAGCAACGCCGCGUGAGUGAUGAAGGCUUUCGGGUCGUAAAACUCUGUUGUUAGGGAAGAACAAGUGCUAGUUGAAUAAGCUGGCACCUUGACGGUACCUAACCAGAAAGCCACGGCUAACUACGUGCCAGCAGCCGCGGUAAUACGUAGGUGGCAAGCGUUAUCCGGAAUUAUUGGGCGUAAAGCGCGCGCAGGUGGUUUCUUAAGUCUGAUGUGAAAGCCCACGGCUCAACCGUGGAGGGUCAUUGAAAACUGGGAGACUUGAGUGCAGAAAAGAAAAAUGGAAUUCCAUGUGUACCGGUGAAAUGCCAAAAGAUAAGGAGGAACACCAGUGGCGAAGGCGACUUUCUGGCCUGUAACUAACACUGAAGCCCCAAACCGUGGGGGCACAAACAGGAAU